rnacentral:rRNA from 1 species
ACGAACGCUGGCGGCGUGCUUAACACAUGCAAGUCGCACGGAAAGGCCCUGCUUUUGUGGGGUGCUCGAGUGGCGAACGGGUGAGUAACACGUGAGUAACCUGCCCUUGACUUUGGGAUAACUUCAGGAAACUGGGGCUAAUACCGGAUAGGAGCUCCUGCUGCAUGGUGGGGGUUGGAAAGUUUCGGCGGGUGGGGAUGGACUCGCGGCUUAUCAGCUUGUUGGUGGGGUAGUGGCUUACCAAGGCUUUGACGGGUAGCCGGCCUGAGAGGGUGACCGGCCACAUUGGGACUGAGAUACGGCCCAGACUCCUACGGGAGGCAGCAGUGGGGAAUAUUGCACAAUGGGCGGAAGCCUGAUGCAGCAACGCCGCGUGCGGGAUGACGGCCUUCGGGUUGUAAACCGCUUUCGCCUGUGACGAAGCGUGAGUGACGGUAAUGGGUAAAGAAGCACCGGCUAACUACGUG